rnacentral:rRNA from 1 species
GACGAACGCUGGCGGCGUGCCUAAUACAUGCAAGUAGGACGCAGUUGCUAACGUGUGAGUAACGCGUAGGUAACUACCUAUUAGAGGGGGAUAACUAUUGGAAACGAUAGCUAAUCCCGCAUACUAGUAGAUGGACCUGCGUUGUAUUAGCUAGUAGGUAGGGUAAUGGCAUACCUAGGCAACGAUACAUAGCCGACCUGAGAGGGUGAUCUGCGACACUGUGACUGAGACAAGGCCCAGACGCCUACGGUAGGCAGCAGUAGGGAAUGUUCGGCAAUGGGGGGAACCCUGACCGAGGAACGCGGCGGGAGUUAAGAAGGUGUUCGGAUCGUAAAGCUCUGUUGUUAAGGAAGCGGUACUUAACCAGAAAGGGACGGCUAACUACGUGCCAGCCGGCGCGGUAAUUC